rnacentral:rRNA from 1 species
UACGGAGGGUGCAAGCAUUAAUCGGAUUUAUUGGGCGUAAAGAGGGCGUAGGCGGAGAUGUAAGUCAGAUGUGAAGGCCCGGGGCUCAACCCCGGAACGGCAUUUGAAACUACAUUUCUAGAGGAUAGGCGGAGAAAACGGAAUUCCACAAGUAGCGGUGAAAUGCGUAGAUAUGUGGAAGAACACCGGUGGCGAAGGCGGUUUUCUAGCUUAUUCCUGACGCUGAGGCCCGAAAGCAAGGGGAGCAAACAGG